AUUGAACGCUGGCGGCAUGCUUUACACAUGCAAGUCGAACGGUAACAGGCCGCAAGGUGCUGACGAGUGGCGAACGGGUGAGUAAUGCAUCGGAACGUGCCCAGUCGGGGGGGAUAACGCAGCGAAAGCUGCGCUAAUACCGCAUACGAUCUAUGGAUGAAAGCGGGGGACCGUAAGGCCUCGGGCGAUUGGAGCGGCCGAUGUCAGAUUAGGGAGUUGGUGGGGUAAAGGCUCACCAAGCCAACGAUCUGUAGCUGGUCUGAGAGGACGACCAGCCACACUGGGACUGAGACACGGCCCAGACUCCUACGGGAGGCAGCAGUGGGGAAUUUUGGACAAUGGGCGCAAGCCUGAUCCAGCAAUGCCGCGUGCAGGAAGAAGGCCUUCGGGUUGUAAACUGCUUUUGUACGGAACGAAACGGCUCUCUCUAAUACAGGGGGCUAAUGACGGUACCGUAAGAAUAAGCACCGGUUAACUACGUGCCAGCCGCCGCGGUAAGAC
rnacentral:rRNA from 1 species